rnacentral:rRNA from 1 species
AGUGAACGCUGGCGGUAGGCCUAACACAUGCAAGUCGAACGGCAGCACAGUAAGAGCUUGCUCUUACGGUUGGCGAGUGGCGGACGGGUGAGGAAUGCAUCGGAAUCUACUUUUUCGUGGGGGAUAACGUAGGGAAACUUACGCUAAUACCGCAUACGACCUACGGGUGAAAGCAGGGGAUCUUCGGACCUUGCGCGAUUGAAUGAGCCGAUGUCGGAUUAGCUAGUUGGCGGGGUAAAGGCCCACCAAGGCGACGAUCCGUAGCUGGUCUGAGAGGAUGAUCAGCCACACUGGAACUGAGACACGGUCCAGACUCCUACGGGAGGCAGCAGUGGGGAAUAUUGGACAAUGGGCGCAAGCCUGAUCCAGCCAUACCGCGUGGGUGAAGAAGGCCUUCGGGUUGUAAAGCCCUUUUGUUGGGAAAGAAAAGCAGCAGGUUAAUCCCCCGCUGUUCUGACGGUACCCAAAGAAUAAGCACCGGCUAACUUCGUG